rnacentral:rRNA from 1 species
CCCUUCCGUAAGGGAACCUGCGGAAGGAUCAUUACUGUUGAUUAGUACUACACUGCGUGAGCGGAACGAAAACAACAACACCUAAAAUGUGGAAUAUAGCAUAUAGUCGACAAGAGAAAUCUACGAAAAACAAACAAAACUUUCAACAACGGAUCUCUUGGUUCUCGCAUCGAUGAAGAGCGCAGCGAAAUGCGAUACCUAGUGUGAAUUGCAGCCAUCGUGAAUCAUCGAGUUCUUGAACGCACAUUGCGCCCCUCGGCAUUCCGGGGGGCAUGCCUGUUUGAGCGUCGUUUCCAUCUUGCGCGUGCGCAGAGUUGGGGGAGCGGAGCGGACGACGUGUAAAGAGCGUCGGAGCUGCGACUCGCCUGAAAGGGAGCGAAGCUGGCCGAGCGAACUAGACUUUUUUUCAGGGACGCUUGGCGGCCGAGAGCGAGUGUUGCGAGACAACAAAAAGCUCGACCUCAAAUCAGGUAGGAAUACCCGCUGAACUUAAGCAUAUCAAUAAGGCGGAGGAAA